AUGCAAGUCGAACGCCCCGCAAGGGGAGUGGCAGACGGGUGAGUAACGCGUGGGAAUCUACCCAUCUCUGCGGAAUAGCUCUGGGAAACUGGAAUUAAUACCGCAUACGCCCUAGGGGGAAAGAUUUAUCGGGGAUGGAUGAGCCCGCGUUGGAUUAGCUAGUUGGUGGGGUAAAGGCCUACCAAGGCGACGAUCCAUAGCUGGUCUGAGAGGAUGAUCAGCCACAUUGGGACUGAGACACGGCCCAAACUCCUACGGGAGGCAGCAUGGGGAAUAUUGGACAAUGGGCGCAAGCCUGAUCCAGCCAUGCCGCGUGAGUGAUGAAGGCCUUAGGGUUGUAAAGCUCUUUCACCGAUGAAGAUAAUGACGGUAGUCGGAGAAGAAGCCCCGGCUAACUUCGUGCCAGCAGCCGCGGUAAUACGAAGGGGGCUAGCGUUGUUCGGAAUUACUGGGCGUAAAGCGCACGUAGGCGGAUAUUUAAGUCAGGGGUGAAAUCCCGCAGCUCAACUGCUGGAACUGCCUUUGAUACUGGGUAUCUUGAGUAUGGAAGAGGUAAGUGGAAUUCCGAGUGUAGAGGUGAAAUUCGUAGAUAUUC
rnacentral:rRNA from 1 species